AAUCCCGUUGACCAAUAAAAAUCUUACCAUCCUCAAAAAAGAAAAAAAUCUUACCAUCCUCAAAAUUUUAUAACGUAAAAAAUUUUUUAUGCAGUGUAUAGACUCUUAUCAUUUGUAACUUUCUUGGACUAUCAUAUAUAAAAAUUAGAGUAUAGCAUGUGCAGGCAAAACUUGGAGAAUAGAAUGUAGGCAGGAAUAUAAUUAUGUAUUAGUGAGUUUGGAGAGUAUUCAUGUAAAUAUUGGUCUUGGUAGAAUUGUAGAUGUAGAGAUGAUUAAUAUAGGGAUAAAAAGCUGCAAGGAUCUCACACAACACGAAGCAUGCAUUACAAGGUGG
rnacentral:lncRNA from 1 species